rnacentral:rRNA from 1 species
GACAGAGGAGCCAAGCGUUGUCCGGACUGACUGGGCGUAAGACGCGACGCAGGCGGCGCUGCGCGUGGGGUGUGAAAGCUCUGGCUUAACUGAGAGAGGCCAUCCCAUACGGCAGUGCUCGAGCGGUGCAGAGGUCCGCGGAAUUGCCGGUGUAGUGGUGAAAUGCGUAGAGAUCGGCAGGAACACCCAGGGGGAAACCAGCGGACUGGGCAUCAGCUGACGCUCAGGUGCGACAGCGUGGGGAGCGAACCGG